rnacentral:misc_RNA from 1 species
AAGCGAGAAUUUUCAAAUGAGGUAACUCUCCACUGUAUUGAACUUGAGUAAUUGAUUUUUUUUUUUCAAUACGGAGACUCCAAGUCUCUGUUCAGGCACCAUGUUUGGACUCAUAUUUAUAGUUGUUGACGGUUUGUGCAAUCAUUUUGUAAUAAUAUUAAAACAUAAUAAGAAAAGAAGGUUAAUGGUCAGAAUUGUUUAACGUUUGACCUUUAAGGAAAUAGAAUUUUGUUCUUUUUUUCAUUAGAUGCCACUAGCCCCAGCCUCAAUUUAUAGAAACAUUAGGUACUUUACAAAAAACAUAAGGGGAAUAUUCUCAUACUAUAGUUCAUAAAGGACUUACAUGGUCAGUCUCAGGUUUCAUAGUUUUACCUUUGUCUGAAGUUCCUUUAACUCAAUGGAAUCUGCAAGGUGCAAGUUUUCCAAUAAAAUGAUGACUCUUCUUUUUCCAAAUUAAGGUUCCAACAGACAAAUUUGGCCAUUAGAGGCUCUAAUUACCUGGAGUUGUCUUAGAGAACUCAAUACAAAUACAUUAGAGAUUAUGCAAAUAUGUAAGAACUUGUGCUAAGGGUGGACUCUUUAUAUCUUUAGUAAAUUCUGGACAUCAAUUUUGCAACUUGAUGAAGGCAUAUUGAUAAACCCCUGCACUUUUCCUGAUUUUUGAAGUGAUUGGUCAAUAAAAUGGAUAGGCCUGUUAAUUGGUUGCCUGAGAUUGGAUGAUGGACUGUAAGACAGGUAUUAAUAUUGGUUCUUAUGAGACCACCGGUGAUAGCAAUAGUUUGCCAUAAUAGUUUACUCAGUAAAUCAUGCUAAUUGUUACAUUGAGUUGCAUGUUUUAAUUAACUAAACUGAUCUAUACUUUCAUUCAACAUAGGUGACUCUUCUUUCAAG